rnacentral:rRNA from 1 species
GCAUGCAAGUCGAGCGAUUUUAAAAAGUGAACUACCUGAAAUCUCGGAAGUCCCUUCGGGGAUGGAAGAGGUGGAUUGUAGCUAGCUUUUUAAGAUAGCGGCAAAAGGGUGAGUAACGCGUGGGUAAUUUACCUUAGGAUGAGGAAUAGCUUCGAGAAAUCGGAGGUAAUACCUCGUAUGUCUUAUGCUUUACUGUAUAAGAUAAAGGUGGCGAAGUUAGCUUCGGUUAACUGCUGUCGUCUUAAGAAAAGCCUACGUCCUAUCAGUUAGUUGGCAGGGUAAUGGCCUACCAAGACUACGACGGGUAGCUGGCAUUAGUGUGUGGUCAGCCACACCGGGACUGAGACACUGCCCGGACUCCUACGGGAGGCUGCAGUCGAGAAUCUUUCCCAAUGCCCGAAAGGGUGAGGAUGCGACGCCGCGUGGGGGAUGAAGGUCUUCGGGUUGUAAACCCCUUUUGUCAGAGAGGAAAUCCCAAUAACGAAUAAUUAUUGGGUUUGACAUUAUCUGACGAAUAAGCCACGGCUAACUCCGUGCCAGCAGCCGCGGUAAUACGGAGGUGGCUAGCGUUACUCGGAAUUACUGGGUGUAAAGGGUCCGCAGGCGACUUAGUAAGUAGGUGGUGAAAUCCUUUCGCUUAACGAAAGAAUUGCCGUCUAUACUGCUAGGUUAGAGGACAAGAUAGGAAAGCAGAACUGCUGGUGUAAGGGUGAAAUCUGUGGAUAUCAGCAGGAAUGUCAGUGGCGAAGGCGGCUUUCUGGCUUGUAUCUGACGCUCAGGGACGAAAGCUAGGGGAGCGAACAGGAUUAGAUACCCUGGUAGUCCUAGCUGUAAACGAUGAGCACUAAGUGUUUUGGUCUUUGACUGGAGCGCCGGAGUUAACGCGUUAAGUGCUCCACCUGGGGACUACGGCCGCAAGGCUAAAACUCAAGGAAUUGAC